CCUACGGGAGGCAGCAGUGAGGAAUAUUGGUCAAUGGACGAGAGUCUGAACCAGCCAAGUAGCGUGAAGGAUGACUGCCCUAUGGGUUGUAAACUUCUUUUAUAUGGGAAUAAAAUGUUCCACGUGUGGGAUUUUGUAUGUACCCUAUGAAUAAGGAUCGGCUAACUCCGUGCCAGCAGCCGCGGUAAUACGGAGGAUCCGAGCGUUAUCCGGAUUGAUUGGGUUUAAAGGGAGCGUAGGUGGGUUGUUAAGUCAGUUGUGAAAGUUUGCGGCUCAACCGUAAAAUUGCAGUUGAAACUGGCAGUCUUGAGUACAGUAGAGGUGGGCGGAAUUCGUGGUGUAGCGGUGAAAUGCUUAGAUAUCACGAAGAACUCCGAUUGCGAAGGCAGCUCACUGGACUGCAACUGACACUGAGGCUCGAAAGUGUGGGUAUCAAACAGGAUUAGAUACCCCAGUAGUC
rnacentral:rRNA from 1 species